GACGAAGGUGGCUAGCGUUGUUCGGAAUCACUGGGCUUAAAGGGCAUGUAGGCGGCUCACCAAGUGCUUUGUGAAAUCCCUCGGCUCAACCGAGGAAUUGCUGGGCAGACUGGUGGGCUUGAGGCAGGUAGGGGCAAGUGGAACUCUUGGUGGAGCGGUGGAAUGCGUAGAUAUCAAGAGGAACGCCGGUGGCGAAGGCGACUUGCUGGGCCUGUCCUGACGCUGAGGUGCGAAAGCCAGGGGAGCAAACGGG
rnacentral:rRNA from 1 species